UACGUAGGGCGCAAGCGUUAUCCGGAAUUAUUGGGCGUAAAGAGCUCGUAGGCGGUUUGUCGCGUCUGCUGUGAAAACCUAAGGCUCAACCUUGGGCUUGCAGUGGGUACGGGCAGACUAGAGUGCGGUAGGGGUGACUGGAAUUCCUGGUGUAGCGGUGAAAUGCGCAGAUAUCAGGAGGAAUAUCGGAGGCGAAGGCGGCCAACUGGUGAUGACAUUGACGCUA
rnacentral:rRNA from 1 species